rnacentral:lncRNA from 1 species
GUAGGUCUGGAGUAAAUGCAAGAUGCUGAAGAAAUGAAUUAUAUGAUACUUCUCAGAUCGGCUGGCAUUGGACUGGGACAGCUGAUGAUUGAGAUCUUUUCAGAAGUUUGGAGUCUUUGCUACUCAAACUGCAGUGACUGGGACAUGGGGGAAAACCUGCAAAAAGCAAAGGGCAGCAGUAAACUUCCACACAUUGAACCCAGCUGCUCCAGCUGCCAAGAACUACCCUAAAAGCUUCAGCAAAAUGAAGUGGAGGAAAUGAAACCUACUCAGAAGAGGAAUGCCUCCACCUGUUCACCUAAGCCAAGACGAAAAGCUACUAACAUCUGCAUGGUUACAGAGAAAAAUGGAAAUGGCAGUGCUGAACUCACAAGGGUAUUGUGAAGAUCAUUCAUUCAUUUAUUUGAGUUAGAAAGUAUCACAGAAAAAGCAUAAAUAAAUGGGUCAUGGCUGGGGUUUUCUGUUUGAUA